CUGCUGCCUUCCGUAGGAGUCUGGUCCGUGUCUCAGUACCAGUGUGGGGGACCUUCCUCUCAGAACCCCUACGCAUCGUCGUCUUGGUGGUCCGUUACACCGCCAGCUAACUAAUGCGACGCAUGCCCAUCCGCCACCGGAAUUAACCUUUGGCACCAACAGGAUGUCCCGUCGAUGCAUUAUGCCGUAUUAGACGGAAUUUCUCCCGAUUAUCCGGCUGUGGCAGGCAGGUUGCAUACGUGUUACUCACCCG
rnacentral:rRNA from 1 species